rnacentral:rRNA from 1 species
CUACGGGUGGCACCAGUGAGGAAUUUUGCGCAAUGGGGGAAACCCUGACGCAGCAACGCCGCGUGAGCGAAGAAGGCCCUCGGGUCGUAAAGCUCUGUCAAGUGGGAAAAAAAUUUUUUGAUCAAUAGUCAAAAGACUUGAUGGUACCGCUGGAGGAAGCACCGGCUAACUCCGUGCCAGCAGCCGCGGUAAUACGGAGGGUGCGAGCGUUGUUCGGAUUUACUGGGCGUAAAGAGCGUGUAGGCGGUUUAGCAAGUCAGAUGUGAAAGCCCUGGGCUCAACCCGGGAAGUGCAUUUGAAACUGCUUCACUAGAGUAUGGGAGAGGAGAUUGGAAUUCCUGGUGUAGAGGUGAAAUUCGUAGAUAUCAGGAGGAACACCCGUGGCGAAGGCGAUUCUCUGGACCAAUACUGACGCUGAGACGCGAAAGCGUGGGGAGCAAGCAGGAUUAGAUACCCGGGUAGUC